rnacentral:rRNA from 1 species
CAAGGGUUGGGCUGUUCGCCCAUUAAAGCGGUACGCGAGCUGGGUUCAGAACGUCGUGAGACAGUUCGGUCCCUAUCCGUCGUGGGCGUAGGAAAUUUGAGAGGAGCUGUCCUUAGUACGAGAGGACCGGGAUGGACAUACCUCUGGUGUACCAGUUGUCGUGCCAACGGCAUAGCUGGGUAGCUAUGUGUGGACGGGAUAAGUGCUGAAAGCAUCUAAGCAUGAAGCCCCCCUCAAGAUGAGAUUUCCCAACUUCGGUUAUAAGAUCCCUCAAAGAUGAUGAGGUUAAUAGGUUCGAGGUGGAAGCAUGGUGACAUGUGGAGCUGACGAAUACUAAUCGAUCGAAGACUUAAUCAA